GCGACAGGCCUAACACAUGCAAGUCAGGGGCAGCACAAGGAGCAAUCUGAGGUGGCGACCGGCGCACGGGUGAGUAACACGUAUGCAACCUGCCUGUAAGCGGGGAAUAACCCGUUGAAAGACGGACUAAUACCGCAUAAUACUAAAUUACUGCAUGGUAAUUUAUUUAAACAUUUAUGGCUUACAGAUGGGCAUGCGCAUGAUUAGCUAGUUGGAGAGGUAACGGCUCCCCAAGGCAACGAUCAUUAGGGGUUCUGAGAGGAAGGUCCCCCACACUGGUACUGAGACACGGACCAGACUCCUACGGGAGGCAGCAGUGAGGAAUAUUGGUCAAUGGACGAGAGUCUGAACCAGCCAAGUCGCGUGCAGGAAGAAUGUCCCUAUGGAUUGUAAACUGCUUUUGCAGGGGAAUAAAGUGCAUCACGUGUGAUGUUUUGUAUGUACUCUGCGGAUAAGGAUCGGCUAACUCCGUGCCAGCCGCAGC
rnacentral:rRNA from 1 species